GUCCACGCUGUAAACGAUAAUCACUAGACGUUGGUUCUGUUUAACGGAAUCAGUGUCGAAGCUAACGCGUUAAGUGAUUCACCUGGGAAGUACGGUCGCAAGAUUAAACUCAAAGGAAUUGACGGGUCCGCACAAGCGGUGGAACAUGUGGUUUAAUUCGACACUACGCGAGGAACCUUACCUAGGCUUGACAUGUAUUUGACAGCUGCAGAAACGCAGUCUUCUGGGCUUCGGUCCAGACAGGUACACAGGUACUGCAUGGCUGUCGU
rnacentral:rRNA from 1 species